rnacentral:rRNA from 1 species
GCUUUAUACUAAAUAUUUAUUUUACAUUUAGGAGUAUUUUGUAAAUAGGUAGACUAGUAUUUGGUUGGGGUGACAGGAAGAUAGAAUAAACUCUUUUUAUAAGAUAAACAUUGAUUUAUGAAUGGUUGAUCCAUUAUUAGUGAUUAUAAGACUAAGU